CAAAGCUGGACACUUAACCAAUGGAGCCAUGCAGGUGCCCCAUGGGAUUGACUUUUUUUACUCAGUCUAAUUCUCUGGAGAUUCAUCCAAGUUAUUGCAUGUAUCUGUAGUUUGUUUCUUGUUAUUGCUGAAUAGGAUUCCAUGUUGUAGAUGUUCACAGAUGUGUCUGUCCCUCUGCCAACCCCACACAGUCUUGAUUAUUGUAGCUAUCUAAUAAGUCUAAAAUUGAGGAGGCUGAUUUCACCUACUUUAUUCCUCUUUUUCUGAGUUGUUUCAGUUAUUUUAAUUAUUUUAGUUCCUCUGUCUUUCCAUAUAAAGUUUGGAAUUUUCUCGUCUAUCUUCAUUAGAAAAUCUUGUUGGGAUUUUGGUAGGAAUUGUGUUAAAGCUGUAUAUCAAUUUGGGGAGUAUUGACAUCCUUACUAUGUUGAAUAGUAAUCCAAUCCGUGAACACAUAUGUCUCUACUUAGACCAUAUUUGAUUUCUUUCAUCAGUGUGGUGUAGUUUUCAGCAUACAAGCUCUGUACAUGUUUUGUUAGAUUUACACCUAAGUAUAUAAUUUUUUAAAAGUGAUUGUAAAUGGUACCAUAUUUUUACUUUUGGUGUCCAUGAAUUCAUAGCUAAUGUAUAGAACCAUAAUUGGUUUCUUUAUAUUUGUCUUGUAUCUGGCAACCUUACUGAAUUCCAAGAAUAGUUUUAGGUGUUUCUUUUUGUAGGUUCCUUCGGACUUUCUGUGUCUACUUAUUCUCAGUUCAUGCCUCAUGACCAGAAUUGAUUGAUCGCCUCCCAAGUGAAGAGCCUCUGCCUGCACGUCUUACUGCACCCACUUCCUCUCUCAGCACUGCUCCCCCAAAUGCUGGUCUGUCUCUGGUAGGUUCUGGCUCUGCCCCUCCCCACCUCAGUGCUCUGUUUCUCUGUCUCUCAAAACAAAUAAACUUAAAAAAGUUAUAUAUAA